rnacentral:rRNA from 1 species
UAGGGAAUCUUCCACAAUGGACGCAAGUCUGAUGGAGCAACGCCGCGUGAGUGAAGAAGAUCUUCGGAUCGUAAAACUCUGUUGUUAGAGAAGAACACGAGUGAGAGUAACUGUUCAUUCGAUGACGGUAUCUAACCAGCAAGUCACGGCUAACUACGUGGCAG